AACUGAAAUAAAAUAAUAUAUAACUUCUUUUUAUGAAUAUUAGAUUUAUUUAUUACAAUAGUAAAUUAUUAUGCAUUCUUUUGUUUUGAAACGUUUUCAUUAAAAGAGUACUUAAUAAGUCACUAUUAUAAUUAAUAUAUUUAAUAUAUAUUAGUAAUUCUAAUUGUUAUUUUUUAAUAAAUUGUGAUUUAUAUUAUAUUAUUAUAAUUUAAUAAUGAUAUAAUUAAAGUAUUCUUUUGUUUUUGUUGGUUAAGCAAAUCCGCCUACAACUAAUGUUUGGUUGCCAUAGAAACGAAACUUCCAUUCCUUUAGUCUGUCUCGCGUAGACCAGUAGAAUAGAAAAAUGAUAAAACUUUGUAAAAUUCUUGGCUAUGCCUAACGGCAAGUAUUCACAGCACACACUGAUGUAAGGAUGCGAGCUAACUAAUGGUUGUCUCGUUUCCAUGGCAAUUUCUUACAUGGUUUUUCCACAUUUUACCAUGUGCUUCAAUUUGGCCUAAAACUCGAUGCAAUUGUGCUAUUUGACAAUAGGGGGCAUUUUUAUUUGAAAAGGGUGGUCGGAUUUUUUUGGAACAUACUGUAUGUAAUAGUUGAAGGCUGUUGUCUCAGUCUUUUUCUGCUGGUCUUUGUCGCAUCCCAUUCCCAGUUAACCAGCCUGAGAUUCUGCUGCCAGAUUCACCUGGCGCACAACGACUUCUCCAAUGAUAGACAAUUGUAAGCUGGGAAAAGAAUUGAAGACUGUUGCAUGUGAUACAGCGGCGAAUAUAACGGACCGAUUGCGGAUGGAACAACAAGCCGAAAAUUGAAGAUAGAAAAAGGGGGUGGGGGGCGGGAGGAAAAAAAAAGUGAUGCUGAACACAAUUCGUUCGUCACGGACACCUCGUCAAACGAGCUUCACGGUCGACCGAGUCCCGCCGAUAAACGGUACGUGCAGUGUAUCAACGUCACGUAGUAAAUCCCGAAACUGAAACAGCCAAAAGAAGUUAACAAGGUGAACUAAGGUGAAUUUCGGCCAUGGAAAUAUUUGUGGCUACAUUUUAUAUUUGGGUAUGUACUAGUCAGUGAGGGGGUGUUCGAAGGACAAUGACAGUGACCUAUUCAGGCAGAAAAUCAUUAAAAGGCGUCAGCGUCUUUCAAAUUUUUUUUUUUUUAUCUGAUUUCUAUUUCAUUACCUGUCGCGACGAGUUGUGACGUGCUGCAAGCUGGGACAAAGAGUGAAUGACCGCUGCUUUAUUUUUCUUUUACAAAAUAGCAGCUCGUGAGGGUACAACAUUACGUGGCACCCUCCAUUCUUCAUGGAGAAAAGAUUUUCUUUUUUUUUUUUUUUUUUAUAAGAAGUCCAGGGACUGGACUGUGUCCAACAAGAGGUUCAUCUUCAUGUCCCGUUUUGAUCUCUUCAUUCUUUUUGGCUGCGUCAGGUUUCGCUUGGGAACUUCAUUUCAGGUGGGGGAAACAUUGCCCCUGAAAAAUACCGGAAAUAUUUCUCACGAAUUGCCCUUUUCUUUUCAUCGAUUAAUGGCACUCGUCAUUGUUGGCGUUCUUCUCCGCGUAUAACUGUUUCCUAUCAAUUGCCGUGUUCUCCGAUUCAUGCCCUCGCUAAUGCUGUACAAGUGUAUACAUUUCAGUCACGUUAGACGCGUCUAAUGUGUAGAUUCACGUCGAAUGAAUCGGCAAGGCUGAUCCCGCACGAUUGCGAGUUCUUUUUUCUUAUUUUAAAUACGAGAAUAGUUAAUGCCAACGUUGGCCUUUUUGCUUGUGUUAACGUAACAAUAACAGCCCAUCGUCACGAGCUCACGAUCUUGUUAAAGGCCCUCUUCCACUAACGUUGCGUUUGUGUUAUGAAAAUAUAUUUAGUCAUUAUCCAAUUGUAAACGUAGAGCAGCACGAACGUCGAUCGAAGGUGAUGGGAAAACGUUGAGAGAGGGAAGAAAAAGGAGAACGGGAGAGGAGGGAAACGAAUAACAAAGGGCGGGAAUUAAAGGGAGAUUUAAAUUGAGCGAAACGAAACGUGUCAUAAAGCGAAACAAAAAUUAAAUGUCAUCCGCCGGAAAUUAUUUUCCCAUACAUUUCCACACACACACUCACACACACACGUUGAUAUUUAUAACUUAUUGUUUAGAUAGGGAGGCAAAAGAAAAACAAAACAAACCAAUUAUUUAUUAUUAUUGGAAUCUGUUUGUCUAUUCCAGCCGUUUGUUUUCUCUUCCUCGUAUCGCUGCGGGUUGUCUUUCUGUUUUGUUGAUGUUGUUUUUUUCUACUUGCACUCCAUCUUUCUCUUCGCCCUUGUGUGCAUUUACAAGUACUACUAAUCUUUAUGCUAAUGAUAUUCGCAACAAUA